rnacentral:tRNA from 1 species
GCGCCUAUAGCUCAGUCGGUUAGAGUAGAAGACUCAUAAUCUUCGGAGAAAUUAGGCGUA